UCCCCCCCACACACCCCCUCCCCACAAACAUCCACAGACACAAACCUCAGUCUAAGUCAAAACCUUACAAGUGCAGCGACCCCUGCACUAUUUUAAACAAACCUGUAGAGAGGUUAUCAGAGGACAUGUCCACUGACCCCCCCACCCUCACCCCCCGGCCCCCUCCCUUGGACAGACGAGCCGGCGUUUGUCUGACGGUCGUCAGAGCGGUCCCUGAUGUGGACACUGGAGGUGAUGAUGAAGUCAAUCAGCUGUUUGGACGACCGUCUGAGUGGACCUCAGAGUGGUCCUCAGAGUGGUCCUCAGAGUGGUCCUCAGAGUGGUCCUCAGAGUGGACCAUCAGACUGAACAGAGGAGCAGGUUCUAAUCAGCUGUAAAGACAAGAACAAACAAAGGUUCAAAGGUCAGCUGUGGUCUAAGAACAAACACUGAGUUUAACUCUUUCAUCAACCUAGACCUAGACCAGCGUCCCCAAAUGUGGCCGCUGACGGGCUAACACCGCAGGCUAACACCGCAGGCUAACAUCGCAGGCUAACACUGCAGGCUAACAUCGCAGGCUAACAUCGCAGGUUCUAUCAGUGGAACGUGGACGAAGACUAACUGACGACAGACUGUCUGGUCUGCGUGAGGGCAGACGUGGUCACGUGGUCAGAGACGGCGCUCCUGUUUGUUGUGGAUAAAUACGUGGUGAUGUUCAACGCCGUGGACGAUCAGAUUUUCUUGGUACUGUGUUCAUUCACCUGUGACUGGGCCGCGGAACACGCCGGAAUGAGCUAACGUCCUUCUUCAAACCCUGCAGGGAACACAGCAGCUGUAAUCCCUCAUUACCAGGGCUAUGUUGGUGGAAACGUCUGAGACAUACUUGGAAAAAAGAAAAAAAAGAAAACUCCACACAGAGCACUGGGAUAAACAGCCCUGCAGGUCGGUCCAGGGACUGCAGGACAUGUCGUAGUUACACCACUGGACAGGAGGACGACGGGAUCUAAGGUGGGAGUUUUUCUAAAUGUAUUUAUUUGUAUUUUUUUUUUCUGAAACAACAGGACUCUGAGGUCACCUCAUGUCCAGGACGACGGCUGCUGAGGUCAACAUGUUUUAUCACCACACAACCAACAACAACCAGUUUGUUUCAUAAACAUCAGCUGUGGGGAAAUUUGAUACAGCAUAAAAAAAAAACAACCAGAGUCAGUGAGAAGGACAAGGUUAGAAAAAAGCUU